CCAAUAGCGUAUAUUAGUGUUGUUGCGGUUAAAAAGCUCGUAGUUGAAUUUCGGGAUUGGGAUAUAUUGGUCGUGCCUUUAGGGGCAUGAAUCGGUGUGUGGCCAAUUCUCACUUUCUGGUGAAUUGGGAUGCUCUCGGGUGUUUCAAUGAACUAGGACUUUUACUUUGAAAAAAUUAGAGUGUUUAAAGCGGGCAUUUUUGCUUGAAUACGUUAGCAUGGAAUAAUAAAAUAGGACGAUGGUUCUAUUUUGUUGGUUUUAGGACCACGUAAUGAUUAAUAGGGAUAGUGGGGGGCAUUAGUAUUCAAUUGUCAGAGGUGAAAUUCUUGGAUUUAUUGAGGACUAACUACUGCGAAAGCAUUUGCCAAGGAUGUUUUCAUUAAUCAAGAACGAAAGUUAGGGGAUCAAAGACGAUUUAUGUACGUCGUAGUCUUAACCAUAAACUAUGCCGACUAGGAAUCAGACAAAGUUAAUUUUUUAACGACUUGUUUGGUACCUUACG
rnacentral:rRNA from 1 species